rnacentral:lncRNA from 1 species
ACAACAGUUAAUAUUUAGCCCUUGAAGGUUAAUAAUGGAACAUGGCAUGAUUUCAAAUACCACUUUGAAUCAAAAUUUUCUGUUUGAUUGCAAUUUCAAUUGUCACUAAAAGUUAAGGUCAAUAAGCGGAACCUUUUAUGUACCUGAUUCAUAUGUUCAGAUAGAUGGUGUUAAGAUAUAAAUCUUAAAAGAUACAAAUUUUCAAUCUAACAAUCAUUUGAAAUUGCGUAUUAUUUUUUGAGAAUUCUUAUCGAAAUUUAAUAUUCACUGACCCGCUCACUUUAUCUUUUGAAGAAAACUGUGCAAGCAAAUUGUUAUAGCUCCUUUAUAGCCUGUCAAUUUUACGUUGUAAUUCUUCAAUCCUUGGAUAAUUUCUCUACAACACAUUCGCUUAACCAAAAACAGUCUAAAAAACACAAAUUAUCUCCCCAUUUAUUCAAUAUCGAGAAGUUCUAUUCACAAUUUGUAUGUUUUGGUUUUUUAAACAAAAUCGUGAAACAAAACACUGGGUUAGUAAUGGAAUGCUCACUCACUCAAAAUUCUACCACAGAACAUUCAUCCGCGUGGCAUGUUUCUAUUGCAUACCUGGUUCGAGGAUUUAAGGAUUUGCAUCAUCGGAAACUGCGGCGAGGUGGGCGGACACGACGAGGCCAAAUUUUCAAAUGCCGUUGAUCGCAGAAGAGGAAGUCCAUUUCUUUAAUUCCUCAGUGCACGCAAUGCCAAUCAGUGAUAGGAGGUCGCUGGAACUGGCGAAGCGCGGAUCGAGCGAUCCUUCUUAACAAGUGCCCAGCUGAGAAUCUGCGACCUAUUUCGGAGACUGAGGUUUUGUUCCGCCCCCGAAUGGAAGUGUCGCAGACGACACUUGGAUCAGAUUCGAACGAGACGACGACGACGACCUCAGCAACGAGUCCUAUUUCGUAGCCUUGUCGCAGCAGUCGGACACAGCAUUCGCAUAACUGUACAUUAUAGCGAACUCAAACAUCCCACUCA